CCCGGAUUCCCUAUCAGCAAUUUGGGUAACCCCUUCAGAGGAUGGUGUGAUAAGAAUAGGAGAGUCCCAUGUAGCCUGGACCACCUCAGACUUGCUAUAUGGCUGAAGAUGACCUUGAGCGCCUGAUCCUGCUUCAGGAUUGUUGACAUUACAUGCACUACCACACCUGGUUUUAUGCAGCCAUGGGGAAUCAAACCCGAGACAUUCUGCAUGCUAGGCAAACACUCCACCAACUGGGAUACAUCCUCAACCUGAGACAGGAUCUGGUUAUGUUACAGGCUGACCUCAAACUCAAAUGCCUCUGUGAAGCAGCUGGGAUUGCCAGCAUGCUCUACCUCAUUAGCCUCUUUUUACUGCCCUUUUAAUUUCUUCCCUCCCAGCCACACCUCCUCACAGCGUCCAAUUCUCCUCUCCAACACUAGGCAAUGUUUUCCUGAACAGUAGAGGCUAUUUGGAUUGCUUUUUUUCAUUUUGAGCUAUUUUCCUUUCCAAAGUCAGUGGAUCAAUUUCUUUAUCUUCUUCCCUAAACUACCUACUGUUAAGAGUCCAGGUCUGCAGACAACCUUCUCCCAGAGUAAAAAAGCCUCACAACACAGGCCAUGGAGGG